UUUCACUAAGCUCAGUCCAAUGUAAUGGUGUAAGACAUUUACGACUGUAUAAAGCUUCAUAAGGUGCCAUUUUGAUACUCGAUUGGAAGUUAUUAUUGUAGCAAAUUCAAUUAGAGGUAAGUAUCACUCCCAUGUCCUUUUGAACUCAGAAUGCAACAUCUCAACAUAUCCUCAAGUAUCUGAAUGAUUUGUUUGGACUGACCAUCUAUUUAUGGAUGGAAAGCAAUGCUGAAAUGUAAUUUUGUGCCUAGACCAUCUUGCAGUUUC
rnacentral:lncRNA from 1 species